rnacentral:rRNA from 1 species
AAACCCAGGCGGAAGGGAUUCAUU